rnacentral:rRNA from 1 species
GACGAACGCUGGCGGCGUGCUUAACACAUGCAAGUCGAACGGAAAGGCCCUGCUUUUGUGGGGUGCUCGAGUGGCGAACGGGUGAGUAACACGUGAGUAACCUGCCCUUGACUUUGGGAUAACUUCAGGAAACUGGGGCUAAUACCGGAUAGGAGCUCCUGCUGCAUGGUGGGGGUUGGAAAGUUUCGGCGGUUGGGGAUGGACUCGCGGCUUAUCAGCUUGUUGGUGGGGUAGUGGCUUACCAAGGCUUUGACGGGUAGCCGGCCUGAGAGGGUGACCGGCCACAUUGGGACUGGGAUACGGCCCAGACUCCUACGGGAGGCAGCAGUGGGGAAUAGUGCACAAUGGGCGGAAGCCUGAUGCAGCAACGCCGCGUGCGGGAUGAGGGCCUUCGGGUUGUAAACCGCUUUCGCCUGUGACGAAGCGUGAGUGACGGUAAUGGGUAAAGAAGCACCGGCUAACUACGUG